UGCAAGUCGAACGCGUUGGCCCAAUUGAUUGAUGGUGCUUGCACCUGAUUGAUUUUGGUCGCCAACGAGUGGCGGACGGGUGAGUAACACGUAGGUAACCUGCCCAGAAGCGGGGGACAACAUUUGGAAACAGAUGCUAAUACCGCAUAACAGCGUUGUUCGCAUGAACAACGCUUAAAAGAUGGCUUCUCGCUAUCACUUCUGGAUGGACCUGCGGUGCAUUAGCUUGUUGGUGGGGUAAUGGCCUACCAAGGCGAUGAUGCAUAGCCGAGUUGAGAGACUGAUCGGCCACAAUGGGACUGAGACACGGCCCAUACUCCUACGGGAGGCAGCAGUAGGGAAUCUUCCACAAUGGGCGCAAGCCUGAUGGAGCAACACCGCGUGAGUGAAGAAGGGUUUCGGCUCGUAAAGCUCUGUUGUUAAAGAAGAACACGUAUGAGAGUAACUGUUCAUACGUUGACGGUAUUUAACCAGAAAGUCACGGCUAACUACGUGCCAGCAGCCGCGGUAAUACGUAGGUGGCAAGCGUUAUCCGGAUUUAUUGGGCGUAAAGAGAGUGCAGGCGGUUUUCUAAGUCUGAUGUGAAAGCCUUCGGCUUAACCGGAGAAGUGCAUCGGAAACUGGAUAACUUGAGUGCAGAAGAGGGUAGUGGAACUCCAUGUGUAGCGGUGGAAUGCGUAGAUAUAUGGAAGAACACCAGUGGCGAAGGCGGCUACCUGGUCUGCAACUGACGCUGAGACUCGAAAGCAUGGGUAGCGAACAGGAUUAGAUACCCUGGUAGUCCAUGCCGUAAACGAUGAGUGCUAGGUGUUGGAGGGUUUCCGCCCUUCAGUGCCGGAGCUAACGCAUUAAGCACUCCGCCUGGGGAGUACGACCGCAAGGUUGAAACUCAAAGGAAUUGACGGGGGCCCGCACAAGCGGUGGAGCAUGUGGUUUAAUUCGAAGCUACGCGAAGAACCUUACCAGGUCUUGACAUCUUGCGCCAACCCUAGAGAUAGGGCGUUUCCUUCGGGAACGCAAUGACAGGUGGUGCAUGGUCGUCGUCAGCUCGUGUCGUGAGAUGUUGGGUUAAGUCCCGCAACGAGCGCAACCCUUGUUACUAGUUGCCAGCAUUAAGUUGGGCACUCUAGUGAGACUGCCGGUGACAAACCGGAGGAAGGUGGGGACGACGUCAGAUCAUCAUGCCCCUUAUGACCUGGGCUACACACGUGCUACAAUGGACGGUACAACGAGUCGCGAACUCGCGAGGGCAAGCAAAUCUCUUAAAACCGUUCUCAGUUCGGACUGCAGGCUGCAACUCGCCUGCACGAAGUCGGAAUCGCUAGUAAUCGCGGAUCAGCAUGCCGCGGUGAAUACGUUCCCGGGCCUUGUACACACCGCCCGUCACACCAUGAGAGUUUGUAACACCCAAAGUCGGUGGGGUA
rnacentral:rRNA from 1 species